AACUUUGUGCAGUGGCAGUAUCAUAGCCCAUGAGGUUUAUCCAAGGCACGGCAAUUGCCAAUUGAAAAUAUAUUAAGCCAAACUGACAUAAUUACAGGGAGAAAUGGAUAAAUAUAUCAUAGUAACAGAAGAUGUUAACAUAU